UACGGGGGGGGCAAGCGUUGUUCGGAAUUACUGGGCGUAAAGGGCGCGUAGGCGGUGCUCUAAGUCGGAUGUGAAAACUCUGGGCUCAACCCAGAGCCUGCAUCCGAAACUGGAGUGCUAGAGUUCUGGAGGGGGUAGCGGAAUUCCUGGUGUAGCGGUGAAAUGCGCAGAUAUCAGGAGGAACACCGGUGGCGAAGGCGGGUCUCUGGGCCGAUACUGACGCUGAGGAGCGAAAGCGUGGGGAGCGAACAGG
rnacentral:rRNA from 1 species